rnacentral:rRNA from 1 species
GAUGAACGCUGGCGAUAGGCUUAACACAUGCAAGUCGAGGGGCAGCAUGGUAUUAGCUUGCUCAGACUGAUGGCGACCGGCGCACGGGUGCGUAACGCGUAUGCAACUUGCCUCACAGAGGGGGAUAACCCGUGGAAAGACGGACUAAUACCGCGUACACUCUAUAUUGGGUAUCCAAGGAAGAGGAAAUGAAAUUCGUUGUGAGAUAGGCAUGCUUCCCAUUAUCUAGUUGGUGAGGUAACGGCCGACCAAGGCGACGAAGGGUAGGGGAACUGAGAGGUUGCACCCCGAGACUGAGACUGAGACACGAACCAGACGCCUACCGGUGGCAGCAGUGAGGAAUAUUGGUCAAUGGGCGAGAGCCUGAACCAGCCAAGUCGCGUGAAGGAGGACUGUCUUAUGGAUUGUAAACUUCUUUUAAACGCGAAUAACAAGAGUCACGGGUGACUCCCUGCAUGUACCGUAUGAAUAAGCAACGGCUAACUCCGUG